GACGAACGCUGGCGGCGUGCUUAACACAUGCAAGUCGAACGGUAAGGCCCUUCGGGGUACACGAGUGGCGAACGGGUGAGUAACACGUGGGUGAUCUGCCCUGCACUUCGGGACAAGCCUGGGAAACUGGGUCUAAUACCGGAUAGGACCACUGCCUGCAUGGGUGGUGGUGGAAAGCUUUUGCGGUGUGGGAUGGGCCCGCGGCCUAUCAGCUUGUUGGUGGGGUGAUGGCCUACCAAGGCGACGACGGGUAGCCGGCCUGAGAGGGUGACCGGCCACACGGGGCCUGAGAUACGGCCCAGACGCCUACGGGGGGCAGCAGUGGGGAAUAUUGCACAAUGGGCGCAAGCCUGAUGCAGCGACGCCGCGUGAGGGAUGACGGCCUUCGGGUUGUAAACCUCUUUCAGCACCGACGAAGCGCAAGUGACGGUAGGUGCAGAAGAAGGACCGGCCAACUACGUGCCAGCAGCCGCAGUAA
rnacentral:rRNA from 1 species